GACUUCUGUCGCUAGCGCGAUUUUUUUCUGUAGAAAAAAAUAAUCAGCAGGCUAAGGAGAGCUUGCUGUAUUUUC
rnacentral:tRNA from 4 species